rnacentral:ncRNA from 2 species
UUAACCAGCGAGGGGUGCUUGUGGAGUGUCGUCCCAGAGAGACUGUCUUUGUGGGUAUGGCGAUCAUUCCAGGGCUGAGAUCAUACCCUUUCUACCUGAUCCGGUUCGUACCGGCGGAGGGACUGCUGUGUACUAAAAGA